CUGACCUCGGAUCAGGUAGGGAUACCCGCUGAACUUAAGCAUAUCAAUAAGCGGAGGAA
rnacentral:rRNA from 1 species